rnacentral:rRNA from 1 species
CGCGUAGGCGGCCGAGCGGGUCACGGGUGAAAUCCUCCAGCUUAACUGGAGAACUGCCCUUGAUACCACUGCGGCUCGAGGAAGGAAGGGGCAAUCGGAACUGUCGGUGGAGCGGUGAAAUGCGUUGAUAUCGACAGGAACGCCGGUGGCGAAAGCGGAUUGCUGGUCCUUUUCUGACGCUGAGGCGCGAAAGCCAGGGAGCAAACG